rnacentral:rRNA from 1 species
AUUGAACGCUGGCGGCAGGCCUAACACAUGCAAGUCGAGCGGAUGACGGGGGCUUGCUCCUGGAUUCAGCGGCGGACGGGUGAGUAAUGCCUAGGAAUCUGCCUGGUAGUGGGGGACAACGUUUCGAAAGGAACGCUAAUACCGCAUACGUCCUACGGGAGAAAGCAGGGGACCUUCGGGCCUUGCGCUAUCAGAUGAGCCUAGGUCGGAUUAGCUAGUUGGUGAGGUAAUGGCUCACCAAGGCGACGAUCCGUAACUGGUCUGAGAGGAUGAUCAGGCACACUGGAACUGAGACACGGUCCAGACUCCUACGGGAGGCAGCAGUGGGGAAUAUUGGACAAUGGGCGAAAGCCUGAUCCAGCCAUGCCGCGUGUGUGAAGAAGGUCUUCGGAUUGUAAAGCACUUUAAGUUGGGAGGAAGGGCAGUAAGCGAAUACCUUGCUGUUUUGACGUUACCGACAGAAUAAGCACCGGCUAACUCUGUGCCAGCAGCCGCGGUAA